rnacentral:piRNA from 1 species
GAGAGCCCUGAAUUGUAACUAGCGUC